AAGCUCGUAGUUGAAUUUCGGGAGUUGUCAGUUGGUCCGGGCUUCACUGUCCGUAUUGAUUUGAUGGAUUCUUACCUUCUGAAUAACCAGCAUGCUAUUAAUUUAGUGCGUUGGGGAAGCAGAUCUAUUACCUUGAAAAAAUUAGAGUGCUUAAAGCGAGCUAGUGCUUGAAUAGAUUAGCAUGGAAUAAUAAAAUAGGACGGCAUGGUUCUAUUUUGUUGGUUUCUAGGAUCACCGUAAUGAUUAAUAGGGAUAGUUGGGGGCAUUAGUAUUCAAUUGUCAGAGGUGAAAUUCUUGGAUUUAUUGAAGACUAACUUCUGCGAAAGCAUUUGCCAAGGAUGUUUUCAUUAAUCAAGAACGAAAGUUAGGGGAUCGAAGACGAUCAGAUACCGUCGUAGUCUUAACCAUAAACUAUGCCGACUAGGAAUCGGACGAUGUUAAUUUUAUAAUGACUCGUUCGGCACCUUACGGGAAACCAAAGUGUUUGGGUUCCGGGGGGAGUAUGGUCGCAAGGCUGAAACUUAAAGGAAUUGACGGAAGGGCACCACCAGGGGUGGAGCCUGCGGCUUAAUUUGACUCAACACGGGGAAACUAACCCAGUCCAGACACCGACUCGCUUGACGUUUGAUAGCUCUUUCUUGACUCUAUAGG
rnacentral:rRNA from 1 species